rnacentral:lncRNA from 1 species
CUGACUGAAAGCUUGAAGUGCAAAGUGCUCUGAGCAAUGAACACAUUAAAAUGCUCUAUGAGUAGGAGAGAGAAAGUAAAAAAAUGAGAGAGAUAUUAGUCAUAAUUCAGCAUGCUGAGAAAAGUUAUCUUGGCUCUUGAUGAGGCAAAACAUAUGACCUCUAACAGAAAUAGAAUAGAAGUGGCCUAGGCAAUAAGAACUGCUAGCAUGAGAAAACCCUUUUGCAUGUAAUUGGUCAAAAGAGAAUUUCCUAUGGGUAGACACAACCAAAGCAGUAUCUUUCAAACAUCUGUUGGCAAACAUAUAUUUGAUGUUGAAACAGUGCAACAUAUACCUGUACGUAUAUAAAUGUUUUUCCUGCAUGUCACCAGAUUUAAUAAAGGUGUGAGGCUCCAGGCUUUUGGCCUUUCCUGUUCCAAUGCAUCCCAGCUUCCCAGCAGAGGAUAGCUGCUGCUGUUCCCUAUUACAGUGCAUUUUCAAGCACUGUAGUACUUGUGCUGGAACCCUGAGGAGAACCUGCUCCCACUGCCUGCGAAUGGUUGUCUCCUGA